rnacentral:rRNA from 1 species
GAUGAACGCUAGCUACAGGCUUAACACAUGCAAGUCGAGGGGCAGCAUUAGGUAGCAAUACUGAGAUGGCGACCGGCGCACGGGUGCGUAACGCGUAUCCGACCUUCCCGUUACUCAUGGAUAGCCUUCCGAAAGGGAGAUUCAUACAUGAUGGUGUUGAAAUUCCGCAUGUUAUUUCAACUAAAGAUUUAUCGGUAACGGAUGGGGAUGCGUGACAUUAGAUAGUAGGCGGGGUAACGGCCCACCUAGUCUACGAUGUCUAGGGGUUCUGAGAGGAAGGUCCCCCACACUGGAACUGAGACACGGUCCAGACUCCUACGGGAGGCAGCAGUGAGGAAUAUUGGUCAAUGGCCGGAAGGCUGAACCAGCCAAGUAGCGUGAAGGAUGAAGGUUCUAUGGAUUGUAAACUUCUUUUAUACGGGAAUAAAACCUCCCACGUGUGGGAGCUUGUAUGUACCGUAUGAAUAAGCAUCGGCUAACUCCGUGCCAGCAGCCGCAGUAACAC